rnacentral:lncRNA from 1 species
GAUUUUCAAAAGAAUCCCAAAAUUAUUGUCAAAGCUUGGUUUUGUGCCUUGGGAUCUGAUUUCAACCCUAGUUCAUAACCGGCCCUCUCUAGGUAUCAAUAUCUAGUUUUUUUAGAUAAUUUUUAUUGAAAACUACUCUUAACUUCUUUUCAAAGGUGUCUAUAUUAUUUAUUUUUCUAAUCUACCUUAUUUUUCUCUAUUUGUGGUCCAAUAAAAUAAAUAGAAGCUUAUUUUACAAAAAAGCAGUACUAGCACCUUUAAUUUUUCUACCCCUUGACUAUUAUUUAUUUUUCCAAGAUAAUUUAUUACAAUAUAUUUGAAAU